CUUGAACAGCACCGGAUCCAGACGCACUCGAGAGGAAACCAGAGGCAUGUGGCCCAGCCCUGCUGCUAAACGGUUGAUGCAGUCCUGAUCCAGGGCCUGAGGCUCCGGCACGGGUCUUGGACCCUCAGAAGCCUAAGAGACACAACUGUGGGGUCAUGCCAUUCUCUCGGGACCCAAAAGUCAGAAAAAGCCAGACUCUUUUGGAAGUCGGCACCCCAGACUGCUUCUGCCAGUGAGCAUAUACUUGGAAUCCAUUGGCUACAGUGGUCCCCAGAGACAAAGGAAAGCUCAAGAUUGGUGAAAGACAUUUGCCCAAAAUCACGCUGUCACGACUGUUCCCUCACUGUUGCAUCCAGGGAGGAAGCAAGACGGGAGGAGGGAGACGGGAGACAUCUAGAAAGAUGGAGAGGAGGAGGGCUGAAGGGGAACCCGGGCCCCUGCAGGUGAACCCCCUUACCUCUAGGGUGGUAUGAACGACUUUUUCCACUGAGGAGAAGUAAGCGGUCCACAGAAACUGGGUCUGCUGGCGCAGGGCGAGAACCCGCGAAGGGAGCAUUUCACGGAGCGCAGCCAGAACCUGGAAGCACAGAGGGAGGGAGAAAGAGAGGAGGCCUGGGGUCCAGCCUCCUUACUGACCCCGCUUAGGAGAAGACUCCUCUUAGAGCUCGGGGAUCUGGACACUUCUAAUGAUGUGCACCCUGUGUUCAGGGUCGCACAGGUUUUAAGUGACACUGUGAGGUGGCACAUACCUGGAAAUCCUGGCACCCAGGUGACUGAGACAGGGGGAUCUUGAGUUCAAGACCACCUGGGCUACAUAGGGAAGAGACCUUGCUUUAAAAACAAACAAAAGAAAGGAAGGAGUGGCUGGGGAUGUGGCUCAGUAGAGAAAGAGCCAACACAGCAUAACAUGGACCAAGCCCUGGGCUUGCUCCCCAGCACCACAUAAACUGUCACCAUUGACACAAGCCUGCAAUCACAGCAUCCAGGAGCCAGAGACAGGAGGAUUAGAAGUUCAAGAUCCUCUAGGCUGUAAAGGGAGUUUGAGGUCAGCAUGGGCUACAUGAGACCCUAUCCAAAAUACCAAGGCGAAGAGGGGGCAACAGUAACUGAUACAAAGUCCCCAGCCCCAGUUUCCCCAUCUGUGGAAUGGGUGCAUUAAACCAUCUCCCUCCCUUGCAUGAGGUUGUAAAGACUCAACUAGAAAGUGUUCAUUUGGGGCUGGGGAUUUAGCUCAGUGGUAGAGCGCUUACCUAGGAAGCGCAAGGCCCUGGGUUCGGUCCCCAGCUCCAAAAAAAAGAACCAAAAAAAAAAGUGUUCAUUUAGUGCCCAGACCAUGUGGAGACUGUCUGAAUGACUGAAUGAUGGUAGCACUGUGUGUGGUGUGGUGUGGUGUGUGUGUGUGUGUGUGUGUGUGUGUGUGUGUGUGUGUGUGUGUGAGAGAGAGAGAGAGAGAGAGAGGGGGGGGGGGAUCCCAGGCUGGCCUCAAACUUGCUAUGUAGCUGAAAAUGACUUUGAAUUCCUGAUCUCCUGCCUCACGGACCCGUUUGUUGGGAUUGUAGGUGUGGGACCCCAGCUAACAGACGGCCAUUGCUCACCUGCCUGCCGGCCUCCACCCAGCUCCCCAGACUUCUCAUGGCAGCUCACACAGAUUCUUCAGGCCUGGGCAACUUUCCUUUCAUCAGCUGGAAGAGCCAUGGCUUCUUACCUAUUUAUUUCCUAUCAGCUGAGAUCUAACCUACCCCAUUGUACAGAUGGGGAAACUGAGGCAGAAAGCGGCUCACAACUGCUCUCAGCACAUCCACAGGCCCCCACCUUCAUCUACAUCUCUGAGAGCCCCAGAAGAGGGGGGGCAAUAGGUAUAGAUAUGACUGCUAGAAGGGGGCCGGGAUCCUGGGGUCCCUCCCCUGACAUGUCCCCCACCAUGAGCUACCUGCAGUGGGAGCCUCUCAUCCGCAACGAUGGCUGCUUUGGUCCAGUCGAUGACUUCAGAGAAAGGCAGCUCCCAGCGGGGGCUGAGGAGCACAGGGAUGCAGCCAGCCUGGGGGGGGGGGCAGGGCAGUCAUUGGGGAGCCUAGCCCACUACCCCAGGUCACCAGCAGCCCCGCCCCCGUGAGGGAAAGGACAAAGAGGAGAGUACUGGGGGGGGGGGGCAGGGACCCUCCUUCCUAUGUGCAGGUGCCCAGCAUUUCCUGUUAGCUCAAGGAGAGGCUGGGGAGUGCUCAGAUUGGGGUGUACCUGAAGGGCUUGGAGAAAGCAGGAGGUAGCAGAUCGGUGGCCAGGAAUGAGGCAGAAGGUGACAUUGGGAAGUAUCUCUCCUGGGUAGGUCCUGAGAAGGUACAGGAAGGUCUCUGGACACAGGAGCCUGAGACACCCACCCCUCACCCUGGCAGCUCCAGUGGCCCCUGGCACCUUACCAUGGCAUUCCCUCAGUCACAAGACGUUGACCCCACUGUGUCCUCAGACACACAGCCAUACACAGGAGAUAUAACUUGGUUAUAACAGACAUAACCAAGAGCAGCGACCUGGUCUCUCUGCUCCCUGCUCCAUGGGGAUUCAGAGACCCUGCCUGCUAGUUCUGUGUCUGCCCCUGGUGGCCUGAGGCAACUCUCUCUUCUUCCUUGUACCUCAGUUCUCUCGUCUGCAAAAUGGGGGUGCCUGGAUCUCCGGUCCUUCCUUUCACUUCUGCUCUGGCCUAGGCAUCCUCACCUGAGUAACCCCCACAUCCAGCCCUCUUCCUCCUCACCUGAGUGACCCCCACCCUCAGCUCUCCCCACAUUGGUAGCUCAGCCAUGAAAGGCUUCUCUGUACUGAGGUGGGCUGGGCCUCCAGCCUGGAACCGCACAGGAAGCUCUAAGACAGGCCUCCUCUGUUCCCCCACUCCUCCCCCAGCCCCAGGACCGUGAUCAGGUUGUGCCAGGGAUUCUGUGAGGGAGGUCCCAGAGCCACAGCCCCCUCAGAGCCACCUCUCUGGUACUGCCAGUCCAGGGAACCGAUGGCUAGCAUCCUGCUGGGGAGGGAAGGACCAGAGGGACCCAUGGGUGUGCACAAUCCUCAGUAAGGUGCAUGAAGAGGACCACUCAAGACCCUCCCCAGUGGCUCACUGCUCUGACCUCCAGCAGACAGAUCUGGGACUAUCCAGCAGUGCCUCUGGACAGUUGGGGAACCCGAGCCUCAAGGAGAGGGACCCCGACUGUGGUUAGAACUAAGUCGGCCAAUUCCAACCCCAGGUUUUUCAGCUAUCAUGAGGGAUAUGUCCAGGGGUGCACCAGGAACCUCUGGAAGGAACCACAAAGCAAACUUGACCCCCACCCUUAUCACAUCAAAAGCUACAGUACUGAUUAGGCAGCCCCAGCUCCCUCCAGUAAGCUAUAAGGAACUAAAAGGCCCUAGCUGAAGACUCCAGGGAGCCCACAGAGAGAAACAGACUCAUCAGACUGUACCCCUUGGCCUCCAGGUCCCCUUUAAUCUCUCCUUUGGAUGUCCUCUCCCCUCACUCUCUGCCUCAUCUACUUGGGGGAAUUCCUUUGGCUUUAUGUCACCUUCUCCAAGAAGCCCUCCUUGAUACCCGAGCCAACCACCACUCCUGGCACAGUUCUAAGUGCUUUGCUCGUAGGAAGGUCGUUCUCACAGCAGCCCCUGAGAUGGAAACCACUGCUGUAUCAUCCUAUCUGACAGUGAGGGAACAGAGGCCUGAAGUCAUGCUUAGCUUUGAAAUAGAUCAGACUCCAGGCUGGAGAGAUGGCUCAGUGGUUAAGAGCACUGACUGCUCUUCCAGAGGUCCUGAGUUCAAAUCCCAGCAACCACAUGGUGGCUCACAACCAUCUGUAAUGAGAUCUGAUGCCCUCUUCUGGUGUGUCUGAAAACAGCUACAGUGUAAUUAUAUAUAAUAAAUAAAUAAAAUCUUUUAAAAAAGAAAUAGAUCAGACUCUGAAGCCUCCCUCUGCCUACCAGUGUACCUGCUUCCCAACAGGACAGAGUUAACUGAGCCCAGGGGUGGAGGGACUGGGGGUUUAUGGGAGAUGGUAGGCAGAGGUUGAAUGAGUAGCUUUGUGGGGCUCAGGAGAGAGAGAGGGAACUUGUGCUUCUGUGAGCUGACCACCAAGAAGUCCAAAAAUGUUUUGCUGGGGUUUUUUGUUUGUUUGUUUUUUUCUUUUUCUUUUUCUUUUUUUUUGGAGCUGGGGACCGAACCCAGGGCCUUGUGCUUGCUAGGCAAGUGCUCUACCACUGAGCUAAAUCCCCAACCCCAGUGUUCUGCUGUUUAAGGUAUGCACCAUAGGCCUAGGGUUUCGAAGCCCAGGGUUAAAGUAAUGGCUUUGCCCACGGUCGUGGAGUUCACCAGGGCCUGACCUUGGCAGAGCCACACUGUGAUUUCCAUGGAUCCUGAGCACUUUAACUUUUGCUGUUACUCCUACCCUGGGAGAAAAGUUUAUAUUUAAAAAAUACAUUUAACUACUGUGUUGAAAUAAAAGCAAAUACUGUCAUAUAUUGGAACGUUUUCUUUCACCUAAGCAUUCAGACAUUUUCUUUCGAAGCUACUUUCCUGUGGCCUCAAAGUGUCCCUGGGCUCCACAGAUCGUCCAAGGGUUCAAGCAGGGAUGUGGAAACUGGAUUUAUACUAAAAAUGGGAGAGAUCGCUAGGAGUGGUGGCACACACCUCUAAUUCCAGCACUCAGGAGGCAGAGGCAGGUGGAUCUCUGGGAGUUCAAGGCCAGCCUGGUCUAUAGAAGUUUGAUUCGUGGACCCAUAUAAAGAUGGAAAGGCAAAACCAGCACAGUUUUGUCCUCUCUCUCUCUCUCUCUCUCUCUCUCUCUCUCUCUCUCUCUCUCUCACACACACACACACACACACACACACACACACACACACACACACACGAAGACAAAACUAAACUUCCUAAUGUGGAGGGGAGAUGGGAAUGUUGUUCAGCAAUUCAAACGCUUGCAGCACAAGAGACCUUGGUUUCAGGCUGAAGAGCUGGCUCAGCAGUUAAGGACACUUCCUGCUCUUGCAAAGGACCCAGGUUUGGUUCCCAGCACUCACACAGUAGCUCACUGGAACUCCAGUAACUGGAACUCCAGUUCCAGGGGAUUCAAUGCCCUCUUCUGGUCUCUGAAGGCAUCUUGCAUGCAUACCGUACACAUAAACACAUGAAAGCACGCACACACACACACACACACACACACACACACACACACACAAAACAAUAAAUAAUUGGUUUUUGGGUUGCUCUUCAAGACAGGGUUUCUCUUCAUAACCCUGGCUCUCCUGGAACUCCCUCUGUAAACGGAGCUGACCUUAAAACUCCAAGAUCCACCUGACUUGGAUUAAAGGUGUUGGCACCACUGCCCAGUUCUAAAACCAUAAUUUUUAAGAGCCUAGACUCUGGGUUCCCCAGCCCCCCGGCUAAACCCAUCUCAACAUGAGGUAUAUGCAGAUGGAUCUCUUGGGUAAGCUGACUGAUUAGAGCAGGCAAGCGCUGGGUUCAGGUGAGGGACCCUGCCUCAAUGUAUCAGAGAGUGAGAGAGGAAGCAGCAGUCAACUUUGGGCUUCCCCAUGCACAUACAUGCAUGUACAUGCAUGUGCAUGCAUGUGCAGAUGUACCCCCGACAUGUGCGGCUGCAUAAAUGUAAAUUAGCAUGCACGUCUGUCUGCACACCACAGGCAGGUACGGAAAUUUAAAAAUGGAGAAGGAGCCAGGCAUGGUGGCCAGAUACCUGAAGUCUCAGUGGAGGCGGGAAGAUCGGGAGUUCAAAGCCAUUUUCAUGCAGUCUGGGCUAUAAGAGACCCUGUCUGGAAAAUUCCAGACAAAUGAAAAGAAGAGGUGAGUAGAAGUACAUACACCCUGUCUAUACAGAGCUGCCCAGAAAAGAAAGACACCCGAGACACUGCAACCAGUGCUCUAAGGAAGGAAGGAGAGAGACCUGGGUGGCUGGGCCAGGUGGGAGGGGGACUUUUGACUGUGUACCCCUUUGUACCAUUUGGAAUUCUUCAUCCUGUGAAUGAAUCGCCUAUUCAUAAAAAUAAAGAAAUUGUGAUUUAAGUGGGUGGGCGCUGAUUCCAAAGUGCAACAGGAUGUGGAUUCAAUUCAACCAAUGUGGAAAAACACCGGCACCUCGGAGCCACAAGUACAGUGUGGACUCCCAACCCCACUCCAGCUUCUGAGUGCUUCCUGGAUCAGAAAAGUGAGGGCCUCUGAUACUCCUCCACACACAAGGCUCUGUGCUCUGGGAUGGGGACUGAGAACUCCUGUGGAGGAUGCUGGGGGAAGCAGCAAUGAUUGAGGGAAGGGUAGGCACAGCUCCUUCCCCUGGAGAGCCUCCUCCACCACCACCUGCCUGCCUACCUGGAACAGUGACUGGGGCUGAAAUACCUCUUUCUCUAGCCAGUACCUGUUUAUUCAGACUGUCUUCUGGGGCUGGCCUCUCUCUAUCACCCUGUCCCUAUGCUGUCUGGCUUGGGCAGCUGCCAAAUACUUCUGAGAAACUAAAGGCAAUACCAUGCAGCAUAUCUUGGAAAGAAAGGUAUCAUGGGAAAUGCUCCCAGAGCAGAAGGGAGGUGCACACACCUGUAAAGAGCCCCCACCCCACCCCCACCCCGUACUCAGGAGGCAAAGGUAGUAGAAUUACUGCAAGUUCGGGCCAGCCCUGUCUAACUUGAGCCUUCCAGGUGGGUCAGGGAAAAACAGAAGAAAAGAAAACUACAGGAAGUAAUCACAAAGUAUCAGCACAUAGCAAUAACCAUGGUUAGCUCAAAGAGGGACUUCCAGAGUCAGUGAGUGCACAGCUCAGUGGUACAGUACUUGCCUAGCCUGUACACAGCCCUGGACACACACACACACACACACACACACACACACACACGCACGCACGCACGCACGCACGCACACAAAAAGAUGGCCACCGGGGUUGGGGAUUUAGCUCAGCGGUAGAGCACUUGCCUAGCAAGCGCAAGGCCCUGGGUUCGGUCCCCAGCUCCGAAAAAAAGAAAAAAGAGAGAAAAAAAAAAAAAGAUGGCCACCCCCAGCAAUAGUAAGUUUUUAAGACUACUGUUUCUAGUCACUGGAGAGUUUCUGUCAGGCUCUGGGUCUGAAGAGCUGGAAGUUCUCUAGUCUCCAGAAGGGCUGCCAUGGGAAUGACAGAGCAGGCUCCCAGGUCUCCCAAGUGCCUUGAGGAAGGCAAGGAUUCUGUUCCCUACAGAUUCCCCAGAGCUUCAAGCAGAGGCAGAGCUGGAUCUUGGCCAGGGGAGGGAGUCCUGAGGGAAGCUGAGCUCAGAAUAGCCACGUUGGAGGACCGGGAGGGAAACCACAGGAAGAUGAAAAAGAGGAGACACCACGGGGACCAUAAACUCUGGGGAUUUGGAAAGGGAGCCUUGGAACCCACAGCCUGCACAACCUUGGAAGGAGACAGCUGAGUGACCAGGUUCAUCACCUGAAGUGUGCCCCAGCAUGGGCAGAGGGAAGCCUCUACCACACAAGGUCUCCUUAUGUCUACGCAAGUAUCCUCAGAGACUCUGACGAUAUCUGAAGUCGUGAAUCCCUCAAGGGAGUUCCUGGACCUUCUCAGAGCUGUCCACACCCAGACGCCUUCCUGUCAGCCCUGACCACCUGGGGAUUAACCAGAAGAGCCAGGCUGUUACCUAGCAAGCCGGCUGCCUCAACCCCAGGCAAUACGUCCACACCCAACUUUAUACUGAUGCUGGGAAUGGAACCCAGGGCUUUGUGCACGCUAGGCAAGCACUCUACAAGCUGAGCCACAUCUCCAGCUAAAGGCACCAUCAAGAAGGGACUUCUGCUCAUCAAAGUGCUGACUUUACCACCCCUUCCUGCUGUCUCUGCCUUCGCUCCACUAUGAGAUGAGCCACUUUGCACCAUUCUGAACUUGCUACCACGAUGGUUGGCCUUACCGCAGGCAAGGAAGCAACUGGAUAGAAGUCAGAUCUUGAGUGAAGGAGCUCUCAGGAGCUGGGGUAACCUCCCCACGAGAUGACUCAGGGAGGUGGGGGUGCGGGGUGGUGGUGGGGGAAUGAAGGAUAUAUAGUGGGCAGUUGACAGCGUCUGUUGGGACCUUUUCACCCCUGUGUUCCCUUGUUUGAAAAAUAGGAAGGCUGUUUUCUGUUCUGGAAAUAAAAAGGUAUGUUCCACUGGAGGAUUAAAUGACUUGACAGCACAUGUGCCUUAGUUAGGGUUUACUGCUGGGAACAGACACCAUGACCAAGGCAACUCUCACAAGGACAACAUUUAAUUGGUGCUGGCUCACAGGUUCAGAGGUUCAGUCCAUUAGCAUCAAGGCGGGAACAUGGCAGCAUCUCUGCAGGCAUGGUGCCGGAGGAGGAGCUGAGAGGAGCAGAGAUCUUCAUCUGAAGGCUGCUAGGAGAAGACCUACUCCUCAGCUCCACCAGAGAGGAUCACAUCCCCUAUAGAAGAUCAUUCCUGGGUCAGGAGUCUGGGCAGAGGCUGGAGAGAUGGCUGCUCUUCCGGAGAACUUGGUCAUGCAGCACCCACAUGAAGGUUCACCAACAUCUGUAAUUCCAGGGGUUCUAACACUCUCUUUUGCCCUCUGCUGCUACUGCAUGUGUACAAUAUACAGACAUACCUGCAGGCGAAAAACCCAUACCCAUAAAAUAAAAAUAAAGGUUAAUAAUUUUUUUAAA